UAAAAAAAAAAUCUAUAACAAAUAAAUUGUGACGUGUCAAAAUUGUAACAACAAAACUUUCUUAAAAUCUCUCUUUUCUCCAAUCGGAUUCCCUAUAAUCCAGCCACCGCUCUUCCGCUCUCCUCCGCCGUGUUUGCCGCCUCACUGGAGACCCACCAAGCAAGGCGGUUCGUAAUCCAAAAUCCCAACUUCACUUACUACCUGUUUAUUUUCUGUUGAUUAAGCUUAAACCAGAAUCAUGGAGAGUAAGUCACGCGGAAAAGGCGAAAAGAAUCUUGGUUAGCAAAAAUUCAGCAAAAACAUCAAUCGUGGCUUCAAGACCAGCAUCGAGGAGUCAGAGUCGUUAGGAGGACAAAAGUGUGUGACAAGAAGCAUCACUCUUUCUGUUAUAUGAUGUCAAUUUGAUGAUUACAGCAAUCAUGGAGGAUGAAGAGAAAAUCAGGGGAUUUAAAGUUAAAAAAAGGAAAAUUCACCAAAGUUUUUUAAAGAAAAUGAUGCUGUCCAACGAGUUAGUGAGUUGAAGUAAGAGGAAGAUCAUGAUGUUAAUGAAUCAAAGAUGGUUAAAGGGAAGAAGAAUUUGAAAAGAAAAUCGAAAACUAAGUUUGAAGAGUUUCUUGAAAUGAAGAUGCCAAAUUCUGACAUGGUUUCACAAGAGGACUUGGAGUUGGAGAGGAAACUUGCAUAGAAACUCAAAGGUAAAAGGUGGUAAAUUAAGGGGAGAUAAUGAUGGUCGAGGAUGAUAUCACAGAAGACUCUACUAGUGAAGCUUCUGAGCUGAAGGAGCAUCCAGAGACACCAUUGGAAGAAAUUCCGGCCAAGGCACCAUUACCAAAGAGGUGUAGAAAGUGAAAGUCUUUGCCGCAAGGACAAGAAGGUGACAUGGCUGGUGAAACAGCCCUUGGUGUAUCCCAGCCUUCUGAAAGCCAUUAUGCAGAGGUAGCAUUAGUAGAAGCUUCAGCCAAGGCACCUGCAAUGGAGGGCAAUGUAAAAUAUGUAGCUCCUAACUUGAGAUCUCGUGCAAGAAAUGAAUCUAAGGAGCAGACUCAAAUGCGCAGACCUGUUCGAGAUAUGAAUAUUUGGUUUUGAUAAACUUCAACAUUUUCACAUUUCAUUUUCUGAAUUUGACGUGCUGCUUAUUUUUCACCAUGUUCCGGGUCUUCUUAAUACGCUGUCUGAAUCAAACGUACAGGAGAAACGGCCACAAUUGUGUAUGCUGCUAAGCUAUUUAUAGCUCUCUGUUUCAAUAACAAUUCUCUA